CCUACGGGUGGCAGCAGUGAGGAAUAUUGGUCAAUGGGCGCGAGCCUGAACCAGCCAAGUAGCGUGAAGGAUGACUGCCCUACGGGUUGUAAACUUCUUUUAUAAAGGAAUAAAGUGAGGCACGUGUGCCUUUUUCUAUGUACUUUAUGAAUAAGGCUCGGCUAACUCCGUGCCAGCAGCGGCGGUAAUACGGAGGAUGCGAUCGUUAUCCGGAUUUAUUGGGUUAAACGGGUGGGUAGUUGGAAGGCCAAGCCAGCGGUAAAAUCGCGGGGCUCAACCUCGCUCCGCCGUUGCAACGGGCGUUCGUGAGUGGGCGAGAAGUAUGCGGAAUGCGUGGUGUAGCGGUGAAAUGCAUAGAUAUCACGCAGAACUCCGAUUGCGAAGGCAGCAUACCGGCGCCCAACUGACGCUGAAGCACGAAAGCGUGGGUAUCGAACAGGAUUAGAUACCCUUGUAGUC
rnacentral:rRNA from 1 species